rnacentral:rRNA from 1 species
UACGUAGGUGGCAAGCGCUAUCCGGAAUUACUGGGCGUAAAGCGCACGCAGGCGGUCUUGUAAGUUUGAUGUGAAAGCUCCCGGCUUAACUGGGAGAGGUCGUUGAAGACUGCAAGACUUGAGGAAAUGAGAGGGGUGUAGAAUUCCCGGUGUAGUGGUGGAAUGCGUAGAUAUCGGGGGGAAUACCAGUGGCGAAAGCGGCACCCUAGCAUUUUUCUGACGCUCAUGUGCGAAAGCGUGGGGAGCGAACGGG